CAAGAUAUAGCUUAAUCAAAGCCCCUCGCUUACACCGAAGAAAUGUCUGUGAAAACCAGAUUAUUUUGA
rnacentral:tRNA from 1 species